CAGUCGCCGCGGUAAUACAGAGGGUGCGAGCGUUAAUCGGAUUUACUGGGCGUAAAGCGUGCGUAGGCGGCUUUUUAAGUCGGAUGUGAAAUCCCUGAGCUUAACUUAGGAAUUGCAUUCGAUACUGGGAAGCUAGAGUAUGGGAGAGGAUGGUAGAAUUCCAGGUGUAGCGGUGAAAUGCGUAGAGAUCUGGAGGAAUACCGAUGGCGAAGGCAGCCAUCUGGCCUAAUACUGACGCUGAGGUACGAAAGCAUGGGGAGCAAACAGGAUUAGAGACCCCGUAGUCCCUGUCUCUUAUACC
rnacentral:rRNA from 1 species